ACUUUCCUGAAGAUGGAAGAAGGGAGGAAGAAGGGAGGGAGAGAAAGGAAAGAGACAGGAAGCUGAAGUUAGUCUUUAUCUGGGGUAGAUAUUGGAAUUGAUCUUUAUCAUUCCAUGUAGUACAGAGUCAUUCAACUCUAUGCAUAAAAGAUACUUCCCAAAAGUCAGCUUUUAUUGAAGUUCCUGCAUCUGUCUUUCACAAGGAUUGGAUUGGAAGCAGUUAUUGACAAAUUUAUAUUUUUGAACCUCAGGUUGACUAUAAGCAAAACAUUACUGCACUGUAGAGCCAAAUGUAACCAGAUUCACCUCCCUUGGCACCAGAACACAUUGUGUAGUUGCAACAUAGAGAGUUGGCGUCUAUGCACAUCUGACUUGUGAAAUUCACUGUUUUCUGGGUCUGAACAUAGUAAUCAUUUGGAUACAAAGAUUGAUUUAGGAUACCCAUUUCAGUGUAACAGAAUCAUACUGCACUAUAUUGUUAAAAACAAAGAAUGGCUGAGUUAUGAGUCAUAAAUUAGAAGGUGGCUCAGACAAGAGUGGGAUCGGGCAAUACCAUAUUUAAGCACAACAGAGACCACCACAAAAACUUGCAGGCAUGCAUUAGCAUAACCACAUGCCAAACUGUCAGGUUGUAAAAUUAGACUGAGCAUGUCAAAAAGGAAAGUUAACAGCUUCUCCUUUCCCUCACACUGAAAUCAUGCUAUAUUCCUUUAAACUGGGGUGCUGUAGAGAAAACAGGAAGCACUCUCCUUCUUCAGGACAUAACGCCCUGCAUCCACAGCAUGCCCAGACUCUUAGUCAGAGAGUAAGAGCAGCACCAAGACAGGACUCCAGAUCUCUAGCAUGAUUGUGUCUGCUUCCAUCAGGGCAGUUGUGGAGAAAACCCCAAAAGAUGUGUGCCAAACGUGAGCCAACAAACAGAGAGUCUGCAGAGCACCCGAAACAAUAGCUGUGAGGUGUGACUUGCCCUACUUAUUUCAAGAAAAGCUCCAUGGACUCUGCAUUUCCACAGCUAUGGAAUUUUGCCACUAUCACUUGAUGUUUUGUUUUCUGUCUCCCUGAAUUUGCCCCUGCUCUCCAACAGCACAGCAGUUAAGGCCCUAGGAAGAUGAAGUGUUGAAGCCAGCUACAAAUUCCUCCCUUUCAGCGAAGGAGAUUCUGAACUGGGCUGCCUAGACAACAACACUGCAGGAGCUGAUGCAAAGGGAAUGGAGCCACUGGGAUAGCAUAGCAAAAAAAACAACCCAAAACCAAAACCAAAAAACCCACCCCUCAUUCUUAAAAAUAAUCAGCAAAUUUCAGGUUUACUGAGUAUUUCCACUAUGAGCCAUAGAAGUGCUUGUGUGGGGCAGAGGGGAUUGGGAAUAAAGAGUAUUUCCAUGGUGAUAAAACAGACUAAUACAGCUGUGUCAUUUGGUCCCACUGUUGAGGAGUACACCAGGCCCUAGCUACAUAUAGCUACUAGGUAAAUUUUUGAUAUAUUCUGCUAGUGUUUUGAUACCUACAUUUUCCCAUUUUCUAAGACUGCAUUGGGUCUAAAUACACAACUCUCUCUUCCUAAUACUAUUUAGCAUGUUAAGUGAUAGGUAUCACUGUUUGCACAUGCCACAACAGAACAUUUGGAGGACAUUUAAUUCCUGAUUUCUUCCUUACAAGGGAUUCUCACAGAGUACCCGCCACCACCCAGAGAAUUUCACCAAUUCCUCAUGCCAUGCCACCAUCCUGAUCAAAGAUCACAUGGAGAAAAAUGACAGACAUGAAAGAUGAAGCCACAAGGCAGGACUUUACAAGCAUCUCACUUACUCCAAGAGUUUUAAGUUCAGAACUUUGCCACUAAACAUUUCAGUGCUCCAGGGUAAAAAGCAAUUCAGCCAAUAGCAUUCAAAUGCCAUUAAACAAAACAAAACCUUUUGUCAAACUGCUGGAUAGCUCAUAUAUUGGCACAACCUACUGAACUAUCACCAUUCAGGUAGGAAUAAACCAACACCACAUCAUUUAUCUUAAAAUAUGCCUAUGUUCAGACCCCCUCAUUUGGUUUUUUAUAAGAAUCAUGUCAUGAAAACUUUAAAGCAGACCAAGCGUAUACUAUUCUCCCAACUAUUAUUACAAAAAGAGGGCUACAACUCAGAGGAACGAAAGUAGAUCAAUACAAUGGAGUCACUCACAAACAUCUGGGAAUUACUUGCAGUUCACACAGACUAAAAGCCAUCAGUGAAAUAUAAUGAAUGGCCUGUAAAUGAGGUACUAAUAAACAAUGUUUGUUUUUAGUCAGCCAAACUCACCUUUCUGUAAUCCAGUCUUCACUGCUGUCUGUGGAACCAUUUCUACCUGUUUGGACAGAAAAAUCUAUAGUUAACAGAGGAAUUUUUUCCCCUAGUAUAAAAAAGAAAAAACAUCCAAGUUUAAGUGAUUAGCAUAUCUGAACUCAGAUGUAGUCUGGCAGUCGCCUUCUCAGUGUAAGCCUUCUGUCCUGCUGGGAUUUAAUCCUAGCUGCCUAGGCUGAAUACCAGGUGAUAAGGCAGCCAUAUGUUCAAUAGCAAGGUCCUUUCCAAUCACUCCCUUUGUGCUUGAAGACAAUAAGAAAACUUUAUCCAUGUCCAGUAGGCAGGAGAGGGGUUCAUUCCUGUAGCCAACCCUGAUGCUGUUGUAAAACCCAACACCUGUUAAGGUAAACUUGUACUUAUACAGGUCUGACUCAGGUUAGUGAGACACUUAAUGUAUUGCCGUUUUAAGGCACUUCCAUCAAGCAUACACUCUUGAGCUUCUGGGGAUAUGGACCUUCUCUCUGUAUAGAGGGCUGCAAGGCCCAUAAAGGUGGGGAUGAGGACUCCAUAUAGAGCAUUGCAGAGCUCUAUACAGCUGGAAACUCAUGUCAGUACAAACUUAAGUAGACAAGUUUGUGAUCUUCCAAAAGCACGUCACGUUCUUGGUCCUACAUCAGAAGGAUGAAAUUAGAAUUUUUUCUGCCAAUAUACAUGUAAUACAUGUGAGAAUUUGGUGAUAAAAAGCAUAAUUAAAGGAAGAAAGUUGUUUCCUAAGGUCCUGGUUUUAGGCUAAGAAUUGCAGGCUUUUAUUUCUUUGCAAUGUGGUUAACAAAGCAUAUAGAAACACAUUUAGUAAAUAUUUAAGGAUUAAUCUAAAUUUUUUUAAAAAAUAUUUUAUUUUGUUGUACAAUAGGUAAAAACAUACAAUAGAAGGAUUUGUAUAGGAUACAGUUUGUAAUACAAAUAUAAAAUCUAAACAAUCACUUGUAUUUCUCUAUUUCUCACUGUAACAGUAGCAUUAACAUUUUGUUUUUCCCAUUUGUAUUCAUUCCAGUUAUAAAUUUAAACCAAGUGGUCACAGAUUGAAUUUGGGAAUCAGUUGCAGAAAACUUGACUUUGGGUAACAAAUAUUGUUGCAUAAUUGUAAGAGUUAGUAAGAUUUAUUUUGAAUAUAAUUUAAUACAUUCAAAGUUAUGUGCAUUACAGUGCAUCUUUGAUUAUUUUAUUACUUUUAGUCACAUACUUUGCCUGAGAAAAGCAAUUUAAUGUACUAUGUUGCUUUAGUUAGCUACAUAGUAUAAGCAAGCAAAGCUAACCUGGAACCACAAUGUUCCUAUUGUUGGUUCUUACACCUUUGUUAAAUUAAGGAGAAUUUGCAAAUGCAAAAGGAUUUAUUUAAAAAUAGGGAAAUCACAACUUCUCACAUCAAGAAGUUAAAGGGCCUAUGUGUCAGCUACUUUACAUCCAACAGGUUGCCUUUAAAAAAAAAAGGUUUCAGUGACAAACGUUUUUUAGAGUUAAAUUUUCUUCUGUCGCUUUGGCAACCCAAACAUGGAAGUGUCAUACUAGUGCAUCAACCAAAAAAUGAAACAAAAAAAAAAGAUAAGGCCUAUUUUCAGCCUUUAAGAUGAUUGAAGUGCAAUAAAAUAAAAUUAAGUGUAAUGGGCAAAGAAUAAAUUAGGGUGUUUUUUAAAAAUAUUUAUUUUACUCUAUUGAAUUAAAAAAAACUUUAACAUGUGUCCCUUUUUAAAAAAGCCCAUUGGAAAAAACUGUAUUAAGAAACAUUUGUUCUACAAAAGUCUCAGGUUUCAAGGGUGGGUGCCCUUAUGGUUUAAAUAGAGAAAAAAUGAUAGUAAGGAAAAGAACCAACAACUCUGACAAACUUGUUAAAUAAGUGUAUUGAGUUAAAUAUUUAAGUAUGUCACCUGCUCAACUUGCCUACUCAUCUCCAUUCAGAAUUUUUUUUUUUUUUUAAAUAAAGCAACAACAUUUGUCUGUCUGGCAUUCGGAUUAAAAGAGUGCCCUGUACAUGUUAGUUCUACUUAAGGGGGAGAAAGAAAAAAAAAAAAAAUCUAAGAUUUGUUUUUUUGUUUAUGUCUGCCAACAUAAAAGUCAGAUUAUUCAUCUUUAAAAUAGAUCAUUCUUAGAGUCCAUUUUCAAAAGUGAUCAAAUAAAUCAGAAAACUUUGAAAAACAAAACCUCAAUACAAACCAGCAGCUAAACCAAGAGUAAGAAGAGGAAGGAACCUGGUGGCAAUUCCAUCAAAUAGAUAUUAUUAAAACAUAAAAUCAUUUUGCUCACAACAGAAAUCUCAAAGUUAACAUGUCAGGUUCAUUAGGAGUCUUGCAUCAUUGAGUUCCCAUUAUCCAAAGCCUGAACUGAUACUGUGAAGAUGCCAGUAGCAGAGUCACAGCAAUAAUGGUACUGACAGGGGGAUUUCAUGAAGGAUAGUCCAAAAAGGAAACUCGAUGGGCAAAAUGGAGAAAAAUAAAAAGGCACCAAAUAUAAGCCACAACAUUUAUGAAUACAAAAUA